UUGUCUUACUCCAGGGACUCCAUAAUGUCUCUGCCCACCAGGAAGAAGAGGAGUCCAGCCAGCAGGACCAGGGGUACCCCGGCUGCAGCGAACAUGAACGACCACCCGUAGUAGACGUGCACGGGGACGUCGUCCAGGCACCUCUCGCUCCUCUCCAGCAGGAUGUACUUCUGGAAGUCAGCAGCAAACUCCUUCCACAUCACGAAGAGAAACACCAGCAGGAGAAAUAAACCUCCUGGAAAGGGAGACGGAGAUGAGUUAUUGUCUGCACAUGGAAUACGGGAGUAAAAGUUCCUGUGGAAGCCAAGCCCUCUUGUCCUGGAGGAGACCACACUGUGACAAGUUCCUGCCCACUGACACCUCGUGCUUUAACAGUCAGGCUCUGCUACACCUGGACACGGGCACGAGGAGCCAUCGUGAACACCACUCAUGUUCUCAGCAGGGACCUGAAUUCCUCUCCCAACGGUGCCUUUUUGCCUUUUGAAUUUCUCUGAGAUGAAUGAGGAGACACCAAGACUCACUUUUUCCUUUUUUAUAUCUACCCUUCCAAGCACUGUUAGAUCCAACUUCCAAUUUAGAAAUGCAAGGAUAUGGGAAUCAGUCCUGCUGAUGGCAACUGAACCUGCCACCCCCAGCAGGUCUCACUUUACCACCUCCUUUCUUGGAUGCUCUGGAAAGUCAUCCUCGUUUCCUGCCAGCUUUUGGUGUGCAGAGACAGAUUCCCUCCUCCCUUGAGCAGCAAAAUGAAAAACUGAAGAAAACGCAGUUUU